rnacentral:rRNA from 1 species
CGGUAACAGGCAAGAGCUUGCUCUUGUGCUGACGAGUGGCGGACGGGUGAGUAAUGCUUGGGAAUCUGGCUUAUGGAGGGGGAUAACUGCGGGAAACUGCAGCUAAUACCGCGUAGUAUCGGAAGAUGAAAGUACGGGACCUUAGGGCCGUAUGCCAUAGGAUGAGCCCAAGUGGGAUUAGGUAGUUGGUGGGGUAAAGGCCUACCAAGCCUGCGAUCUCUAGCUGGUCUGAGAGGAUGACCAGCCACACUGGAACUGAGACACGGUCCAGACUCCUACGGGAGGCAGCAGUGGGGAAUAUUGCGCAAUGGGGGCAACCCUGACGCAGCCAUGCCGCGUGAAUGAAGAAGGCCUUCGGGUUGUAAAGUUCUUUCGGUGACGAGGAAGGCAUUUAGUUUAAUAGACUAAGUGAUUGACGUUAAUCACAGAAGAAGCACCGGCUAACUCCGUGCCAGCAGCCGCGGUAAUACGGAGGGUGCGAGCGUUAAUCGGAAUAACUGGGCGUAAAGGGCACGCAGGCGGAUUUUUAAGUGAGGUGUGAAAGCCCCGGGCUUAACCUGGGAAUUGCAUUUCAGACUGGGGAUCUAGAGUACUUUAGGGAGGGGUAGAAUUCCACGUGUAGCGGUGAAAUGCGUAGAGAUGUGGAGGAAUACCGAAGGCGAAGGCAGCCCCUUGGGAAUGUACUGACGCUCAUGUGCGAAAGCGUGGGGAGCAAACAGGAUUAGAUACCCUGGUAGUCCACGCUGUAAACGCUGUCGAUUUGGGGGUUGGGCUUUAAGCUUGGCGCCCGUAGCUAACGUGAUAAAUCGACCGCCUGGGGGAGUACGGCCGCAAGGUUAAAACUCAAAUGAAUUGACGGGGGCCC